rnacentral:rRNA from 1 species
GACGAACGCUGGCGGCGUGCUUAACACAUGCAAGUCGAGCGGUAAGGCCCUUUCGGGGGUACACGAGCGGCGAACGGGUGAGUAACACGUGGGCGACCUGCCCUCAGCUCUGGGAUAAGCCUGGGAAACCGGGUCUAAUACCGGAUAUGACUCCAUGACGCAUGUUGUGGGGUGGAAAGCCUUGUGCGGCUGAGGAUGGGCCCGCGGCCUAUCAGCUUGUUGGUGGGGUGANGGCCUACCAAGGCGACGACGGGUAGCCGGCCUGAGAGGGCGACCGGCCACACUGGGACUGAGACACGGCCCAGACUCCUACGGGAGGCAGCAGUGGGGAAUCUUGCGCAAUGGGCGAAAGCCUGACGCAGCAACGCCGCGUGAGGGAAGACGGCCUGG